CUGUUUCUGGCGGCGGAAGGCGAGGAGGGAGGCAAGACCUACCGUAACGGGACGGGCGUGCUCCCCAAAUGCCGCUCCUCUCAGUAAGCGCUUCGGACUAAGUAAACCUCAACUGCAUCAACACCAGCCCAGACUUCGAACUUCCCCCAUCUGUAAGAAUCUGUUUAUUUCUUCUUUCUCAACCUGAUCCUUUCCAGAUAGCUCAGUCUUUAUGGCUGGGAAUUCUGGGAAUGAAAAUACCCAUCUAUCAGGAUGACAUCAAAUGAAGACAAUGCAGAAAGGCCGUUUGUUUUCCAGGGAAAGUAGGGAUCAGUUUCUCUCCUGGAUUACUCAGUGGUACGGUAAAUGUGAGUAGGUAGAGCACCAAUGCCCAGUCCUUGCUCCACAGAAUAUAAAAAGUUGAAAAAGAUGACCUUCUUUGGUUUAUUGCAUCUCUAAGUAGCAUCGUAGGGAGAAUAUGGUUGAUUUAACUCAAUCCCCACCUUUGUGCUGUUCAAAGAAAAAUAAGGAAUCAGAUGAAAACAUUGCUGUUCCUCUGGUGAUCAAUCCUUAGAUCAUAUGCAGAAAUGCAAGGUGUAUUGGUUAAGUUGUUGCUGGGACUGACAUGAGAAACACCUGGCUUCAAGUCUACUCCUAACCAUAGAAGCUCAGCCCAAAUCUCACAAAGUUAUUAUGGCUAAAAAUGGGAGGAGAGAAUGCUGCAUCUGUCUCAUUGAGUUUCUGAAUGAAAGGUGAGAUAUAAAUCUAACAAAAUAAUCUUACAAGCAAGUGCUGCACCAUUAACUUUAUAUGUCUCUCCCUAUAAUCAAAAUCUGUAGCACCAUCUUCAAUGAAAAACUGAUGAUACAGUAUUACCCUUCCAAAAAAAAACCCCCACCUGAUAUAUAACAUGUGGCUCAAUACUUAUGCUAUACUGUAUUCUCAAAUCUGAAACUAUGUUUUCCCCAAUUUUGGGUGCUCUCAGGAUAAGUUAUACAUUUAACACACAACCUAGUUG